UACGGAGGGGGCUAGCGUUGUUCGGAAUUACUGGGCGUAAAGCGCACGUAGGCGGUUUCUCAAGUCAGAGGUGAAAGCCCGGAGCUCAACUCCGGAAUAGCCUUUGAAACUAGGAAACUUGAACGUCGGAGAGGUGAGUGGAAUUCCGAGUGUAGAGGUGAAAUUCGUAGAUAUUCGGAAGAACACCAGUGGCGAAGGCGGCUCACUGGACGACUGUUGACGCUGAGGUGCGAAAGCGUGGGGAGCGAACAGG
rnacentral:rRNA from 1 species